AGUCAGCAGUACCGACAGGGAGAAGAAGAGAGGUCUAGCGGGAACGGACAAUUCUCGUAAAGGAAAAAGAAGAGGAACCGAUUUUCUUGAAGCGUCGACUGUGUUAACUUAUUUUGUUAGAUCUUAAUUUAUUUGUUCGGACGUUAUUUACUUUCCAUUUUCAUCAUGUUUGAGGCAAGGCUUGUUCAGGGUUCUUUGUUGAAAAAGUUGAUGGAGGCUAUCAGAGACUUGAUUCCCGAAGCAAUAUGGGACUGCAGCGGCACUGGAAUCACACUACAAGCUAUGGACAAUUCACAUGUGGCUCUUGUAGCAGUCAACUUACGGAGUGAUGGAUUUGAAACUUACAGAUGUGACAGAAAUCUCUCUAUGGGGAUGAGUUUAGCAAGGUAACAUUUUUGGCGCUAAAUUCUUUGUAUUGCCUACAAAGAACAUCAUUUUCUUAGAUUACAAAAAAUGAUGCUAAUAAAAGAUUUAGCAUGUUAUAUUCAUCUUAUAGUAAAACCAAGUCAUCUGUUCUUUGUAAAAGAAAAUUAUUGCAAUUUCAAAGAUUGUUUUUAUUUUUUUCAUGAAGCAUGUCCAAAGUUCUAAAAUGUGCAAGCAAUGAUGAUGUCAUUACAUUGAAAGCUGGGGACAAUGCAGACACUGUGACGUUUAUGUUUGAAUCUCCAAAUAAUGAGAAAGUAUCUGACUACUCAUUAAAGCUGCUCGAUUUAGACUGUGAACAACUUGGAAUUCCUGACACUGAAUACAGCUGUGUUGUCAAGAUGCCCUCCCACGAGUUUCAGAGAAUCUGCAGAGAUUUGAGUCAAAUUGGAGAAUCCAUGGUCAUCUGUUGUACAAAGGAAGGAGUCAAAUUCUCUGCCAGUGGAGAUCUAGGCACAGGAAAUGUUAAGUUGGCCCAAAAUGCAAGUGCAGAUAAAGAGGAAGAAGCUGUCAUCAUUGAAAUGAACCAAGCUGUGACCUUGACUUUUGCCCUCAGAUACCUCAACUUCUUUACUAAGGCUACCCCCCUCUCUGCUCAGGUCAGCCUGUCCAUGUCACAAGAUGUCCCUCUGGUGGUUGAAUACAAAAUUGCUGACAUGGGAUUCCUAAGAUACUACCUAGCUCCAAAGAUCGAAGAAACUGAUGACUGAAGAACUAACUUGUUUUGUGAUAACAACAUUAUUGACUGAAGUGCUUCAGACAUGGCAAAGACUUUUAUACACAAUAGUACACAUCAAUCCUGUAAUAAAAUGUUAUGUAAUUUC
rnacentral:misc_RNA from 1 species